rnacentral:rRNA from 1 species
AUUGAACGCUGGCGGCAUGCUUUACACAUGCAAGUCGAACGGCAGCGCGGGCUUCGUCCUGGCGGCGAGUGGCGAACGGGUGAGUAAUGCAUCGGAACGUGCCCAGUAGUGGGGGAUAGCCCGGCGAAAGCCGGAUUAAUACCGCAUACGACCUGAGGGUGAAAGCGGGGGACCGAAAGGCCUCGCGCUAUUGGAGCGGCCGAUGUCGGGUUAGCUAGUUGGUGGGGUAAAGGCUUCCCAAGGCCACGAUCCGUAGCUGGUCUGAGAGGACGACCAGCCACACUGGGACUGAGACACGGCCCAGACUCCUACGGGAGGCAGCAGUGGGGAAUUUUGGACAAUGGGGGCAACCCUGAUCCAGCCAUGCCGCGUGCGGGAAGAAGGCCUUCGGGUUGUAAACCGCUUUUGUUCGGGAAGAAAUCCUCUGGGCUAAUACCCCGGGGGGAUGACGGUACCGGAAGAAUAAGCACCGGCUAACUACGUG